rnacentral:piRNA from 1 species
UGCCAGGAUGGAUGCUGUGCAGAGGGUGGC